AGAAUAGAACCAGGACAUUGGGGACACCUAAGACAAGCUUCACCAGCCAAAAGCAUUGCCAGCCCCAGCUGAGAGUCACACACUCCUUAAAUGUGUGUUAGAGGGGACUCAUUUGACCUUUCGAUCCAGCCUGGCUGUGGCGGCCAUUCCAGAGGGUCUGCCCAUCGUCGUCAUGGUGACGCUGGUCCUGGGAGUUCUGCGGAUGGCCAAGAAGCGGGUCAUCGUGAAGAAGUUACCCAUCGUGGAGACUUUAGGUUGCUGCAGCGUUCUCUGUUCUGAUAAGACGGGGACUCUGACUGCCAAUGAAAUGACAGUGACCCAGCUUGUAACGUCAGAUGGGCUUCGUGCCGAGGUCAGCGGAGUUGGGUAUGACGGUCAAGGGACUGUG
rnacentral:sRNA from 1 species